AUUGAACGCUGGCGGCAGGCCUAACACAUGCAAGUCGAGCGGAUGAAGGGAGCUUGCUCCUGGAUUCAGCGGCGGACGGGUGAGUAAUGCCUAGGAGUCUGCCUGGUAGUGGGGGAUAACGUCCGGAAACGGGCGCUAAUACCGCAUACGUCCUGAGGGAGAAAGUGGGGGAUCUUCGGACCUCACGCUAUCAGAUGAGCCUAGGUCGGAUUAGCUAGUUGGUGGGGUAAAGGCCUACCAAGGCGACGAUCCGUAACUGGUCUGAGAGGAUGAUCAGUCACACUGGAACUGAGACACGGUCCAGACUCCUACGGGAGGCAGCAGUGGGGAAUAUUGGACAAUGGGCGAAAGCCUGAUCCAGCCAUGCCGCGUGUGUGAAGAAGGUCGUCGGAUUGUAAAGCACUUUAAGUUGGGAGGAAGGGCAGUAAGUUAAUACCUUGCUGUUUUGACGUUACCAACAGAAUAAGCACCGGCUAACUUCGUGC
rnacentral:rRNA from 1 species